CGAAAGCCUGACGGAGCAAUACCGCGUGAGGGACGAAGGUCUGUGGAUUGUAAACCUCUUUUGUUGGGGAAGAUAAUGACGGUACCCAACGAAUAAGCAUCGGCUAACUCCGUGCCAGCAGCCGCGGUAAGACGGAGGAUGCAAGCGUUAUCCGGAAUUAUUGGGCGUAAAGCGUACGUAGGCUGUUUCAUAAGUCUGUUGUCAAAGCGCGAGGCUCAACCUUGUAAAGGCAAUGGAAACUGCGAGACUAGAGAGAGAUAGGGGCAGGAGGAAUUCCAGGUGUAGCGGUGAAAUGCGUAGAUAUCUGGAAGAACACCAGUGGCGAAAGCGUCCUGCUGGAUCUCAACUGACGCUGAAGUACGAAAGCUAG
rnacentral:rRNA from 1 species